rnacentral:tRNA from 2 species
GCUGGUGUAGCUCAAUUGGUAGAGCAGCUGACUUGUAAUCAGCAGGUCGCGGGUUCGAGUCCCAUCACCAGCUCCA